UACGGGGGGGGUAAGCGUUGUUCGGAAUUACUGGGCGUAAAGGGCUCGUAGGCGGCCAACUAAGUCAUACGUGAAAUCCCUCAGCUUAACUGGGGAACUGCGUGUGAUACUGGAUGGCUUGGAUUUGGGAGAGGGAUGCGGAAUUCCAGGUGUAGCGGUGAAAUGCGUAGAUAUCUGGAGGAACACCGGUGGCGAAGGCGGGUCUCUGGGCCGUAACUGACGCUGAGGAGCGAAAGCGUGGGGAGCGAACAGG
rnacentral:rRNA from 1 species